rnacentral:rRNA from 1 species
AAGCAGGGGAUCGCAAGACCUUGCGCUUUUGGAGUGGCCGAUGCCUGAUUAGCUAGUUGGUGGGGUAAUGGCCUACCAAGGCGACGAUCAGUAGUUGGUCUGAGAGGACGACCAGCCACACUGGGACUGAGACACGGCCCAGACUCCUACGGGAGGCAGCAGUGGGGAAUUUUGGACAAUGGGCGAAAGCCUGAUCCAGCAAUGCCGCGUGAGUGAAGAAGGCCUUCGGGUUGUAAAGCUCUUUCAGUCGAGAAGAAAAGGUUGUGACUAAUAAUCACAACUCAUGACGGUAUCGACAGAAGAAGCACCGGCUAACUACGUGCCAGCAGCCGCGGUAAUACGUAGGGUGCGAGCGUUAAUCGGAAUUACUGGGCGUAAAGGGUGCGCAGGCGGCUUUGUAAGUCAGAUGUGAAAUCCCCGGGCUUAACCUGGGAAUUGCGUUUGAAACUACAAAGCUUAGA